CUUGACAUCCAGAGAAUUUAGCAGAGAUGCUUUAGUGCCUUCGGGAACUCUGAGACAGGUGCUGCAUGGCUGUCGUCAGCUCGUGUUGUGAAAUGUUGGGUUAAGUCCGCAACGAGCGCAACCCUUAUCCUUUGUUGCCAGCACGUAAUGGUGGGAACUCAAAGGAGACUGCCGGUGAUAAACCGGAGGAAGGUGGGGAUGACGUCAAGUCAUCAUGGCCCUUACGAGUAGGGCUACACACGUGCUACAAUGGCGUAUACAAAGAGAAGCGACCUCGCGAGAGCAAGCGGACCUCAUAAAGUGCGUCGUAGUCCGGAUUGGAGUCUGCAACUCGACUCCAUGAAGUCGGAAUCGCUAGUAAUCGUAAAUCAGAAUGUUACGGUGAAUACGUUCCCGGGCCUUGUACACACCGCCCGUCACACCAUGGGAGUGGGUUGCAAAAGAAGUAGAUAGCUUAACCUUCGGGAGGGCGUUUACCACUUUGUGAUUCAUGACUGGGGUGAAGUCGUAACAAGGUAAGCGUAGUGCU
rnacentral:rRNA from 1 species